ACCACAUUCCUUCCAUCCGCAUCUCCUAGCAAGAACACUGAAACAUUCCUACUUCUAGACUCCAGGGGCUGAGUAUCUGUCCUUUUAUGAACCUGCUCUCCAGUCCUUCCUGUUGAUUCUAUGAGCUUCCUGAUGGGUAACAGCCUGGAAACUCAAGCAGGGUAUCUAUGUCAGAAUCUGGAGGAGAAUUCCUUCCUCUUUGAGAAACCUUAGUCUACUCCCAAGGACUUCAAAGGACUGGAUGAGGCCCACCCACAUUAUGGAAGAUCCUAAGCUAGGUCCCAGAGUUACAGCCAUGAGCAAACAACACAGUCCCAGGAUCAUGAAAGCCAC